GGACACUAAGGAGUGACGGAGACAGGCCAGGCUCUGGCUCUGAGGCAGCCUUGUUCCACAGCCUCUCGGAGCAGCAGCGGCUGCCACACCUGCCCCACUCAGUUGAUGGGUGGAAGGAGACAGUGCUCUUCAGCAGCCUCUCAGAAUAAUGACACCGGAGCCACUUCCUGGACACCGCGGGUACUGCUGCCCUGUGCUAGCCACAGAAGGCCAUGUUCAGAGAGGAAUAUGACGCCACCAGAAACAGCGGGCUUCUUAUGAGAUGAAGGUCAAAGGAGUCAGCCCUGGCCAGGCAGCCAUAAUCAGAGUCAUGUCUUCUCUUGGAGAAGCAGGGAGGCCCCAGGAAGGUGACCCAGGGGAUGGAGACAUGGGACAUGAGAGACCCUGAGUGGUCACCACGCCAGCCCAACUGUUCACAAGCAAAUCUGCACACAAACCCCGACGUGACAAUGGUGGCUUCUCCUAACUGAAGAGCAAAGUGCAAUUUCAGGUGUUUGUUUUCUUAAUUGGAAAAUUAUUAAGAACAAUCUACAAGCAUUAGAUACACAACCGAGUGCAGUUCUGCUCAGGUGUCGUGGGUGACGGCACUCUGAUGUCGUCUGAAACAAGCAUGCCGCACUGUGGU
rnacentral:lncRNA from 1 species